GACAGAGGGUGCAAACGUUGUUCGGAAUACUGGGCGUAAGGCGCGUGUAGGCCGCUUCGCAAGUCGGAUGUGAAAGCCCUGGGCUCAACCCAGGAAGUGCAUUCGAAACUGCAGAGCUGGAGUCCUGGAGAGGAAGGCGGAAUUCUCGGUGUAGAGGUGAAAUUCGAUAGAUAUCGAGAGGAACACCGGUGGCGAAGGCG
rnacentral:rRNA from 1 species